rnacentral:rRNA from 1 species
UGAGGAAUAUUGGUCAAUGGACGAAAGUCUGAACCAGCCAUGCCGCGUGGAGGAUGAAGGCCCUCUGGGUUAUAAACUUCUUUUAUAGGGGACGAAAAAGGGUCUUUCUAGAUCAACUGACGGUACCCUAGGAAUAAGCACCGGCUAACUCCGUGCCAGCAGCCGCGGUAAUACGGAGGGUGCAAGCGUUAUCCGGAUUUACUGGGUUUAAAGGGAGCGUAGGUGGGUCUGUAAGUCCGUGGUGAAAUCUCCGAGCUUAACUCGGAAACUGCCAUUGAUACUAUAGGUCUUGAAUAUUCUGGAGGUAAGCGGAAUAUGUCAUGUAGCGGUGAAAUGCUUAGAUAUGACAUAGAACACCGAUUGCGAAGGCAGCUUGCUACAGGAUUAUUGACACUGAGGCUCGAAAGCGUGGGGAUCAAACA